rnacentral:ncRNA from 1 species
GGAAAAGGCAAACAGGCGGAAACGUCUGGGCGCAAAGUUACCGGCCUAAGGCUUUGAAAUAUUGGGAUUUCGAAGUUAAGGCGGCAGAACUAUCGA